rnacentral:rRNA from 1 species
AGAUGAGACUUCCCAUCUAUUCGAUAGAGUAAGAUCCCUCAGAGACGAUGAGGUAGAUAGGUUCGAGGUGGAAGCAUGGUGACAUGUGCAGCUGACGAAUACUAAUCGAUCGAGGACUUAACUAUA